UACGUAGGCAGCGAGCGUUGUUCGGAUUUACUGGGCGUAAAGGGCGCGUAGGCGGCGCGGUAAGUCACUUGUGAAAUCUCUGAGCUUAACUCAGAACGGCCAAGUGAUACUGCAGUGCUAGAGUGCAGAAAGGGCAAUCGGAAUUCUUGGUGUAGCGGUGAAAUGCGUAGAUAUCAAGAGGAACACCUGAGGCGAAGGCGGGUUGCUAGGCUGACACUGACGCUGAGGCGCGAAAGCCAGGGGAGCAAACGGG
rnacentral:rRNA from 1 species